rnacentral:lncRNA from 1 species
GCACGGGUGCCGAACAGCCGCGCGAGUUGGGAAGGACGGAGAGCUGCUGUGCAGUCUUCGCGGCUGGACGCCCUGUGGCCGGGACCCCGCGGCUGCAGCCCCUGGAGCUUAGACGGAGUCUCGCUCGGUUGCCCAGGCUGGAGUGCGGUGGCACAAUCUCGGCUCACUGCAACCUCCGCCUCCCGGGUUCAAGCGAUCCUUCUGCUUCAGCCUCCCGAGUAGCUGGGACUACAGGGUGAAGCAUGAAUCUGCACAUGGGGAGGCUUCAGAGGACAACUGAGACAAGAAGCAGGAAGCUGAGAAAGGAGGACACCUCCCACACACACAUCUAGCAAAAGCUGGACAUUUCUGGUCAGUCAUCCUUAUGCAAAGACUUUCUGGAAGGAGCAGUUAUUCUUGGGAAACCUCAAGCCAAGAAAUGAAUGUCCCUGGUUUGGUGGCUGCCAAGAAACAUGACAGAAGCAAACUCAUAACAUCUCUGAAAGGAAGCACCUCAAUCCAGGCCCCAGAGAGUUCCUAGAAUAAAGUCCCACCAAAUAUGAGUCCACAAUCCAAAAUUACAAAAUAGGUGAUCCAUGAGCUCCACAGGCAAGAGACCGCAGAAAUGACAAACAGCAGAGGCCAUCUCUCCCAAACUGCAGAUCUUGGAACUACUGGAUCCAGAAUAUAAGGUCCAGUGGCUCAUACCUGUAAUCCCAACACUCUGAGAGGCCAAAGCAGGAGGAUUGCUUGAGACCAGGAGUUGGACAUCAGCCUGGGCAACAUAGUGAGACCCCAUCGCUACAAAAAAAGUUUUAACUAGCCAGGCCCUGGUGAUGUACACCUGUAGUCCCAGCUACUUGGGAGGCCAAAGCAGGAGGCUAACUUGAACCCAGGAGGUUGAAGUUACAGUGCACUGUGAUUGCGCCACUACAUUCCAACCUGAGCAACAGAGUGAAAGCUGGUCUCUUAAAAAAUAAAUAAAUAAAUAAAUAAAUAAAUAAAAUUAAUGUAUGGCUUUUUAAAGGGAAGAUGAUGAGGGUCAACUUUACUCCAUACUGGAAAUUACAUUCUUCAUAACUAUAUAAGCUUAUGAGGACAUUUGUAGUUAUUAACUUUAUAAUAUAUAAUGCAGUACAUAAUUUUUCACAGUUCUUAUAGGGAAUAUGAAAGAAAACAAGUCUUGAGAGUUGUUUUUUGUUUUUUUUUGAGACGGAGUUUCGCUCUUGUUGCCCAGACUGGAGUGCAGUGGUGCGAUCUCAGCUCAUUGCAACCUCUGCUUCCCAGGUUCAAGUGAUCCUCCUGCCUCAGCCUCCCAAGUAGCUGGGAUUACAGGCACCUGCUGCCACCCCUGGCUAAUUUUUGUAUUUUUAGUAGAGAUGGGGUUUCACUGCGUUGGCCAGGCUGGUCUAGAACUCCUGACCUCAGGUGAUCCACCCACCUUGGCCUCCCAAAGUGCUGGGAUUACAGGCCUGAGCCACCGCGCUGGCCUUAAAGAAAAAACUCUUUCCUGCCAUGGGAAGUCUGGGGCCUCCAAAGCCUCCAAACAAAGCUGGCUCUGCAGGCUCCAGACCGGCUGCGAUUGGCUGACAUCAUGGAGCAGAAAAUUACCACCAAGAGCUUCGUGACAUCACCAUCGUAGAUCAGCGGGAAGUAACCAGGGCCUCAGACCAACAGAGCCAGCUGUCAGUCACCAGAGGCUAGCUGGAGGCUUGCCCCCGCCGUCAUCUAGAGCUCCCUCUGGCCACAGCAUCAAAAAUGGCAGACACCCUACUUCUCAGAGGCCACGGUUCCCCGUGAUCGAUCACCCAGUCAGUGCAGUGUGGAGCCGCAUACUGGUGCAUGCUUAGGACAAGAGUCCUGUGGGGACCCAGCACAGCCCUAGCCACCUGAGACAGACCGAGGCUACUUUGCCAGUGGCCUCUCCUCCAUUCUGGUCGUUUCCCCGUGUGUCCUCUGCAGUCCUGGAGCGGUUCUCCACAUUAGAGAUGCAAAAAUGCCAAAAGAGACGCACAUGCAGAGCCUGUGCUGACCAAGAUCAGAGAGAUCAUUCCCUUAUUCCCCAUUCAACAAAAAUGAGGGUAAACCACAUGAACCACUGUGCGGGGGACAACAAAAGAUCAGAUAUUGGCAAUUUUCAAUCUAAUCGUAUUUAUUGAGCCCCUCCAUGUCCCCUGCACGUUUCCAGUGCUGAAUAUUGUGAAAGGAAAUUAAAUCUUGAGACCCCAAACUCAUUAAGCCAAAGGGAGAAGUCAAGCUGGGGCCUGGAUCACGCAAACCUCCCUCCCCCUUUUGGCUCCUAAAUAAGAUGGCUACAAGGUGAAAAGCUACAUGCCUCCCCUGUAUUUUGCCCACAAGGAAAUUCUUAGUGAGCUGCAAGAUCUUUUAAGGUGUUUCUGUUAACAUUUCACCAUGACAACGUAAAUUCAAAGCUUAUCAUUACAGACGCAGUCACCCCCCGCCCACCAGACACAAAUGCAUAUGGGAUUGUUUUGCUGCCCCAUUUUGUCUAAGUUAUCUUAUGUAAAAUGCAGAUUCCCUGCAUUUUUCCCCGACCCAUUUGUCAAUGUCAUCUUAUGUAAAAAAUGCAGAUUCAGUGAGCCAGACAAAGUCAUGAAUGACUAUUUUUCCCUACCCGCCUCUUACAUGAAAACUGUGUGCUUCUCAAUAUCCCGCCCUUUCCCCUUUAAAUUUGGAGCCCUCAAAAUCGUCUUCGGAGCAAGGAAUCGACCUGUCUCCCUGGCA